CCUACGGGCGGCAGCAGUGGGGAAUAUUGGACAAUGGGGGCAACCCUGAUCCAGCCAUACCGCGUGUGUGAAGAAGGCCUUAGGGUUGUAAAGCACUUUCAGUGGGGAGGAAAAGUUGCCGGCGAAUACCCGGCGACCGUGACGCUACCUGCAGAAGAAGCACCGGCAAACUCCGUGCCAGCAGCCGCGGUAAUACGGAGGGUGCGAGCGGUAAUCGGAAUUACUGGGCGUAGAGCGCGCGUAGGGGUGUGAAAGCCCGGGGCUCAACCUGGGAACUGCAUCCAGAACUGCCAGGCUAGAGUAUGGUAGAGGACAGUGGAAUUUCCGGUGUAGCGGUGAAAUGCGUAGAGAUCGGAAGGAACACCAGUGGCGAAGGCGACUGUCUGGACCAAUACUGACGCUGAGGUGCGAAAGCGUGGGGAGCAAACAGGAUUAGAUACCCCGGUAGUC
rnacentral:rRNA from 1 species